rnacentral:rRNA from 1 species
AAUGCAGUGCCCGAACAGGGCGUUGUAAUUGGGAUGAGAACAAUUUAAAUCCCUUAUCGAUUAACAACUAGAGGGCAAGUCUGGUGCCAGCAGCCGCGGUAAUUCCAGCUCUAAUAGCGUAUAUUAAAGUUGUUGCAGUUAAAAAGCUCGUAGUUGGAUUUCGGCGUGCGCUCAGGCUGGUCGGCCGUCAAGGUCUGUACCGUUUGGGUCACGCCCCACUGUAGGAUACUCACCGCUGUCCUUAACUGGGUGGCGGUCAAAGGGGGUGUGCAUGGGGGCAACUCUGUGCAUAUCUCUGGGGUUCCUACUCUUUUACUUUGAGCAAAUUAGAGUGUUCAAAGCAGGCAAUCGAGCCUUGAAUACUUCAGCAUGGGAUAAUGGAACAGGACUGGGGUCCUGAUUUCGUUGGUUUCUGGGAUCUCAGUAAUGAUUAAUAGGGAUAGUCGGGGGCAUUAGUAUUUAAUUGUCAGAGGUGAAAUUCUUGGAUUUAUGAAAGACUAACUUCUGCGAAAGCAUUUGCCAAGGAUGUUUUCAUUAAUCAAGAACGAAAGUUAGGGGAUCGAAGACGAUCAGAUACCGUCGUAGUCUUAACCAUAAACGAUGCCGACCAGCGAUUGGGAGACGUUACAUGGAUGACUCCCCCAGCAGCUUGCGAGAAAUCACAAGUCUUUGGGUUCCGGGGGGAGUAUGGUCGCAAGGCUGAAACUUAAAGGAAUUGACGGAAGGGCACCACCAGGAGUGGAGCCUGCGGCUUAAUUUGACCCAACACGGGGAAACUUACCAGGUCCAGACAUAGUAAGGAUUGACAGAUUUGAGAGCUCUUUCUUGAUUCUAUGGGCGGUGGUGCAUGGCCGUUCUUAGUUGGUGGAGUGAUUUGUCUGGUUAAUUCCGUUAACGAACGAGACCUUAACCUGCUAAAUAUGUCACUGGUAGACUUCUGCCAAAACAGGUGGGUGUCUAGGGGAAAGUUUCGAUGGACUCCGACGCAUUCAUCUGUGGAUGACUACCAGGAUGUACUUCUUAGAGGGACUAUCUGUAUCAAAGCAGAUGGAAGUUUGAGGCAAUAACAGGUCUGUGAUGCCCUUAGAUGUUCUGGGCCGCACGCGCGCUACACUGACAAGUUCAACGAGUUUAACACCUUGCUCGAUAGGGCCGGGUAAUCUUUGAAAAACUUGUCGUGAUGGGGAUAGAUCAUUGUAAUUAUUGGUCUUCAACGAGGAAUUCCUAGUAAGCGUGAGUCAUCAGCUCGCGUUGAUUACGUCCCUGCCCUUUGUACACACCGCCCGUCGCUCCUACCGAUUGAAUGAUCCGGUGAAAUGUUGGGAGCUGGGGUCUUUUGGCGGCGGGGCAACUCGUCGUCAGGGAUUCUGCAAACUUCAUUAAACCUUAUCAUUUAGA